CGCUGGCGGCGUGCCUAAUACAUGCAAGUCGAGCGGAACCAUUGGAGCUUGCUCCUUUGGUUUAGCGGCGGACGGGUGAGUAACACGUGGGCAACCUGCCCUGCAGAUCGGGAUAACUCCGGGAAACCGGUGCUAAUACCGAAUAGUUUGCGGCCUCUCAUGAGGCUGCACGGAAAGACGGUUUCGGCUGUCACUGCAGGAUGGGCCCGCGGCGCUAUUAGCUAGUUGGUGGGGUAACGGCCUACCUAAGGCGACGAUGCGUAGCCGACCUGAGAGGGUGAUCGGCCACACUGGGACUGAGACACGGCCCAGACUCCUACGGGAGGCAGCAGUAGGGAUCUUCCGCAAUGGACGAAAGUCUGACGGAGCAACGCCGCGUGAGUGAAGAAGGUUUUCGGAUCGUAAAACUCUGUUGUGAGGGAAGAACAAGUAUCAACUAACUAUUGGUACCUUGACGGUACCUCACCAGAAAGCCACGGCUAACUACGUGCCAGCAGCCGCGGUAAUACGUAGGUGGCAAGCGUUGUCCGGAAUUAUUGGGCGUAAAGCGCGCGCAGGCGGUCCUUUAAGUCUGAUGUGAAAGCCCACGGCUCAACCGUGGAGGGUCAUUGGAAACUGGGGGACUUGAGUGCAGAAGAGGAGGGUGGAAUUCCACGUGUAGCGGUGAGAUGCGUAGAGAUGUGGAGGAACGCCGGUGGCGAAGGCGACUUUCUGGUCUGUAACUGACGCUGAGGCGCGAAAGCGUGGGGAGCGAACGAGGAUUAGAUACCCUGGUAGUCCACGCCGUAAACGAUGAGUGCUAAGUGUUAGGGGGUUUCCGCCCCUUAGUGCUGCAGCUAACGCCAUUAAGCCACUCCGACCU
rnacentral:rRNA from 1 species